rnacentral:rRNA from 1 species
UAAACUAGGAUUAGAUACCCCACUAUAAAUCGAAAAUUAUCAUCCUUUGGCGACACAACAAAAAUUUAUGGCGGCUCUUAUUCAUAUUAGAGGCUUAUGAGCCUAAAAGAUGAUCCCCUAAAAUCUUACUUUAGUUUGUUUAUACAUUUUUUAUAUCGCCGUUUAAAGAAAGUUUUUUAAAUUACUUUCUUCAUAAUCAAUUACUCCUAAAAACAGGUAAAGAUGAAGAUUACACUAAAGGAAACUUGUAAGCCAUUAAAUUAAAUGUUAAUAAUUAUUAAGAUAUAAAAAGAAUUUAAAAGUAAAAUUUUUUUAUUAUAAAAAUUUGAAGAAUGUUAAUAAGAGUGUACAAACCGCCCGUCACUUCUAGUUCCUAUAGAAUAAGUCGUAACAUAGUAA